GCGCCUUAUUACCGUUAGGGUAGGGUUCUAGUUCUUAAUCGUGGUAGUGGCACUAGGAUUGCCAUGUUGGUAUUCCUUAACAAGUCACUAGCUCGGCGCAUGUCUAGCAACAGUGUUAAGUAUAUACCGGGGUGAUAGUUCCUUAGGUUUGGAGUUUAAGUACCGCAAGCGGAUGGAAAUUGUCGUGUAGCAUUUCAACCCGGGGAUUUACCGAGUGUCGUAUUUAUAGGUUCGCUCUAAGGAAGGCUUAAUAUGUUAAGGAUCUAAGAUAAGCAUAGAUCAAAGUAAUUAUGAUAGCAAUAAUGGAAUCAAAAGUCAUAGCAGGUGAUAAACAUUUAUAUGUAGAAUAGUGAUCCAUCACAAUCUAGGCAUGGCAUAUGGGCUAAGAAAUAAAAAGAGACUAAAAGAAUGAAUUGAAUCAAAUAAUAAACAAACAACCUAUUGGAGCUGGUGUGAUCCUAGAUACAGAUCAUGUCAUAGAACAAGUUAAUCAUGUAAUUAUACUACUUAGAUCUAGUCCUGUGUUU
rnacentral:lncRNA from 1 species